AAAAAGUUAGUAUAAAAAUUACGUUUCAUUUACAAUGAAAAAAUAUUAAGCAAUACUUUUUU
rnacentral:tRNA from 1 species